CCCAGCAUGCUACAUACAGCAGGGCUAUUGGGGCCACACUAGUAUUUGAGCCCAAGGACUUCAUCCAGUCAAGUUAUUGUGUUGAUCGAUGCAGAGGAGGGAAAGUGACGUUACCUUCAAAAGGGACCAUCAUCAAAGCGGAAAGGAUGUGGAAUGGACUUCGGUGACACAUUUGGAUGAAGGCCAGUUGGGUACUUGACAAGCAGUCAGAGAUUUUACUGGAACGUUAAAAAAAUGUUUUCUUCUCAAAACCAACAUUCACGCCAUUGAAAGACAAGUUCGACAACGGCCGAUCUUCCAUAAAGUCAUCU